GUCCUCAUAGCUCAGCUGGAUAGAGCAUCGGUUUUCUAAACCGACGGUCGCGUGUUCGAGUCACGCUGGGGACG
rfam:Lacunisphaera limnophila strain IG16b chromosome, complete genome.